GACGAACGCUGGCGGCGUGCUUAACACAUGCAAGUCGAACGGAAAGGCCCAGCUUUUGUGGGGUGCUCGAGUGGCGAACGGGUGAGUAACACGUGAGUAACCUGCCCUUGACUUUGGGAUAACUUCAGGAAACUGGGGCUAAUACCGGAUAGGAGCUCCUGCUGCAUGGUGGGGGUUAGAAAGUUUCGGCGGUUGGGGAUGGACUCGCGGCUUAUCAGCUUGUUGGUGGGGUAGUGGCUUACCAAGGCUUUGACGGGUAGCCGGCCUGAGAGGGUGACCGGCCACAUUGGGACUGAGAUACGGCCCAGACUCCUACGGGAGGCAGCAGUGGGGAAUAUUGCACAAUGGGCGGAAGCCUGAUGCAGCAACGCCGCGUGCGGGAUGACGGCCUUCGGGUUGUAAACCGCUUUCGCCUGUGACGAAGCGUGAGUGACGGUAAUGGGUAAAGAAGCACCGGCUAACUACGUG
rnacentral:rRNA from 1 species